rnacentral:sRNA from 1 species
CGCUAUACUAGCCAGCGAAAUUGCCGGCCCACCGCUUCGGACCGGCUUUUAAUGUG